GUGGCCCUGAAUCAAGGCCAGCAGUUUGUUGUAGCUGCUGGUUUCAAACAGAUGCCUAAAGAGAAGUUUUUCUAGGGUCUAUUGGCCAUGUUAGAACUUUGGACAUGCAAUGGUCAAUUCAUUACAAAGAAAUAGCU
ensembl:snoRNA